UGGAGAUCGGACGACAUAGAUGAAACGUGCAGUCUUGUUGAGCGUAUACUACACCCGGAACCCAUUGAAGUUUUGCUAGUUUGCAACUGUGAUAUGCUUUUUUAAUAUGUCGACAAGAAGAAUGAGGGCAACAACUUCUAAAUCAAGUGGUGUAACUCCUAAUGAGGUCGAAUCAGAGUUAACCUGCUAUUGUGGUCUUCGAUCACCACUUCUUAUU